GACGAACGCUGGCGGCGUGCUUAACACAUGCCAGUCGAACGGUGAACCUCUUCGGAGGGGAUCAGUGGCGAACGGGUGAGUAACACGUGGGCAACCUGCCCCCGGCUCUGGGAUAACUCCAAGAAAUUGGGGCUAAUACCGGAUGUUCACCGCUUCCCGCAUGGGUGGUGGUGCAAAGGGUUUCCGGCUGGGGAUGGGCCCGCGGCCUAACAGCUUGUUGGUGGGGUAGUGGCCUACCAAGGCGACGACGGGUAGCCGGCCUGAGAGGGUGACCGGCCACACUGGGACUGAGACACGGCCCAGACUCCUACGGGAGGCAGCAGUGGGGAAUAUUGCGCAAUGGGCGGAAGCCUGACGCAGCGACGCCGCGUGGGGGAUGACGGCCUUCGGGUUGUAAACCUCUUUCAGCAGGGACGAAGCGCAAGUGACGGUACCUGCAGAAGAAGCACCGGCCAACUACGUG
rnacentral:rRNA from 1 species